AAAUAUAUAGAUGAAGUAUUUAUCAAUAUAUUUUCUUAAAUAUGCCUUUUUUGGCACAUGAUUAUGGCUUAAAAAAAAGAUGCUAUCAAUACAGAUAAGGAGAAUGUCUGAGAAAUAGCGAGGAAGGAGUUCAUCCUUCCAAGCAACUAGGGAAUACUUUCUAAUCUAAAUUUUCUUCAAAUUUAUUUAUGAUUUCAGUUUUUUACAUCUUGAUUCAUGAAUUUAUUUUGCCGUAUUAUAUGAGGUAGAGAUCUAAUUCCAUUUUUCCCUAAAAGGUUAGCUAAUUAUUCCUAACACUUUGUUUAAUGAGAAAUACAUAUUUUUCCCACAGACUUGAAAUUCUAUGCAUCUGUCAUUUUACUGAAUACUGAAUAUUAUUAGGAUUUGGUUUUGGAUUUUGUGUUCAGUUUAAUUCUUAUGCCUAUUCGUAGGCUCAACCACUCAUCACUUCUUCUUCUAGCCCAUUAAUUGUCUUGGUGAUUCUCAACUUCAUUCUUCCGAAGAAUUCCUGGAUCAUUUUGUCAGACUCCCAAAUGUGAUAAAUACAACUGGAAUUUUGGUUGUAAAAAUAUUAUAUUUAUAAAAUAAUUUGGAGAGAAUUAAUAUUUUUAUAACAUUGCAUCUUCUCACUGAGAAGCAUUGUAUGCCUUUACAUUUAUUGAAAUCUUCUGUUAAUGUCCCUCUGAAAGUUUCAUAGCUUUCUUCAUUUUCUUUUUGUAUCUCUUGAUUUAAAUGAUUGGCUCAUUAGUGUCAUUUCAUUCUUGUUAAAUAAUAUAAAGAACCAAAGGUGUAUGAAUACAUUUUUUCCCAAUUAUAACUUGGACUGGCCACAUCUAAUUUGUUUUGGUAAGUUAUAUUUCACUAUCCUACUUUCUCCAAGUAGUCUGUAAUUGCAAUUUACUAUUUUUUUUUUUUUUUUUUUGAGGUGGAGUGUCACUCUGUUUUCCAGGCUGGAGUGUGGUGGCCCUAUCUUGGCUCACUGCAAGCACCACCUCCCAGGUUCAGGUGAUUCUCCUGCCUCAGCCUCCU
rnacentral:lncRNA from 1 species